GAACGCUGGCGGCAUGCCUUACACAUGCAAGUCGAACGGCAGCAUGGGUGCUUGCACCUGAUGGCGAGUGGCGAACGGGUGAGUAAUGCAUCGGAACGUGCCCUGAAGUGGGGGAUAACGUAGCGAAAGUUACGCUAAUACCGCAUAUUCUGUGAGCAGGAAAGAGGGGGAUCGCAAGACCUCUUGCUUUGGGAGCGGCCGAUGUCGGAUUAGCUAGUUGGUGAGGUAAAGGCUCACCAAGGCGACGAUCCGUAGCGGGUCUGAGAGGAUGAUCCGCCACACUGGGACUGAGACACGGCCCAGACUCCUACGGGAGGCAGCAGUGGGGAAUUUUGGACAAUGGGCGCAAGCCUGAUCCAGCCAUGCCGCGUGAGUGAAGAAGGCCUUCGGGUUGUAAAGCUCUUUCGGUUGGGAAGAAAUUGCUUCGGAUAAUACCCGGAGUAGAUGACGGUACCAGCAUAAGAAGCACCGGCUAACUACGUG
rnacentral:rRNA from 1 species